rnacentral:misc_RNA from 1 species
AAGUCGUAACAAGGUUUCCGUAGGUGAACCUGCGGAAGGAUCAUUAUAGUAUGUGGGGGGGCGCGAUAGCGUCCUCUAGGUUCUCGGCGCUAGCCGAGGACUGUGGCAGACACCCGCGAGGGUGGCUGUGAAACAAUGAGAUUUGAGACUGAAAAACAAAAGAAAAUACAACUUUUAACAAUGGAUCUCUUGGCUCCU